rnacentral:SRP_RNA from 11 species
UGCGCCUGGCUCCCCAAUUCGGCGGCGACCGCGGGAGGCAGAUUCAAGAGCAGCGCGCAUGCCAGUAAGAUGAUUCCCCGUCCGAGCCGAGAACGGAUC